UAUAUAUUAUGGCGUAUCACAACCAAGACAACCCACUCCACCAUUUCACAGAACAACAACAACCAACCUCCGAUCCUCACCACUCUUUCCAAACUGCACCUAACUGGCUCAACAACGCCCUUCUUCGCAACCUCGACACCAACGUCAACGCCACUGCCACCAACAACAACAACGGUUCCCAAUCCUCCGGUCAAUGGCUCUCUCGUCCUAUCCUCCACCGAAACCAUAGCGAAGUCAUCGACGACGUCACCGGCGCCGGCAUGAAGGCGGAGGAAAGCGGCGAGGCAACGGCGGAGGGAGUGAUGAACUGGCAGAAAGCGAAACACAAAGGUGAAAUAAUGGCGCACCCGUUGUAUGAACAGCUUCUAUCAGCACACGUGUCGUGUUUAAGAAUCGCCACGCCGGUUGACCAGUUGCCCAGGAUCGAUGCUCAGCUGGCAGAGUCGC
rnacentral:lncRNA from 1 species